rnacentral:rRNA from 1 species
AAUGAACGCUGGCGGCAGGCCUAACACAUGCAAGUCGAACGGGCACUUCGGUGCUAGUGGCGGACGGGUGAGUAACGCGUGGGAACGUGCCCCUUGGUACGGAAUAGCCCCGGGAAACUGGGGGUAAUACCGUAUGUGGUCGAGAGACGAAAGAUUUAUCGCCAAGGGAUCGGCCCGCGUUGGAUUAGGUAGUUGGUGGGGUAAUGGCCUACCAAGCCGACGAUCCAUAGCUGGUUUGAGAGGAUGAUCAGCCACACUGGGACUGAGACACGGCCCAGACUCCUACGGGAGGCAGCAGUGGGGAAUCUUAGACAAUGGGGGAAACCCUGAUCUAGCCAUGCCGCGUGAUCGAUGAAGGCCUUAGGGUUGUAAAGAUCCUUCAGGUGGGAAGAUAAUGACUGUACCACCAGAAGAAGCCCCGGCUAACUCCGUGCCAGCAGCCGCCGUAA